UUAUACGGUGAACGUCGAAUGGCUCAUUAAAUCAGUUAUCGUUUAUUUGAUAGUACCCUACUACAUGGAUACCUGUGGUAAUUCUAGAGCUAAUACAUGCUAAAAACCCCGACUUCGGAAGGGGUGUAUUUAUUAGAUAAAAAACCAAUGCCCUUCGGGGCUCCUUGGUGAAUCAUAAUAACUUAACGAAUCGCAUGGCCUUGCGCCGGCGAUGGUUCAUUCAAAUUUCUGCCCUAUCAACUUUCGAUGGUAGGAUAGUGGCCUACCAUGGUAGCAACGGGUAACGGGGAAUUAGGGUUCUAUUCCGGAGAGGGAGCCUGAGAAACGGCUACCACAUCCAAGGAAGGCAGCAGGCGCGCAAAUUACCCAAUCCCGAUACGGGGAGGUAGUGACAAUAAAUACUGAUACAGGGCUCUUUUGGGUCUUGUAAUUGGAAUGAGUACAAUUUAAAUCCCUUAACGAGGAACAAUUGGAGGGCAAGUCUGGUGCCAGCAGCCGCGGUAAUUCCAGCUCCAAUAGCGUAUAUUAAAGUUGUUGCAGUUAAAAAGCUCGUAGUUGAACCUUGGGCCUGGCUGGCCGGUCCGCCUCACCGCGUGUACUGGUCCGGCCGGGCCUUUCCUUCUGGGGAGCCGCAUGCCCUUCACUGGGCGUGUCGGGGAACCAGGACUUUUACUGUGAAAAAAUUAGAGUGUUCAAAGCAGGCCUUUGCUCGAAUACAUUAGCAUGGAAUAAUAGAAUAGGACGUGCGGUCUAUUUUGUUGGUUUCUAGGGCCGCCGUAAUGAUUAAUAGGGAUAGUCGGGGCAUUAGUAUUCAUUGUCAGAGGUGAAAUUCUUGGAUUUAUUGAGACUACUACUGCGAAAGCAUCUGCCAAGGAUGUUUUCAUUAAUCAGGAACGAAAGUUAGGGGAUCGAAGACGAUCAGAUACCGUCGUAGUCUUAACCAUAAACUAUGCCGACUAGGGAUCGGUGGGUGUUACUAUUAUGACCUCAUCGGCACCUUACGAGAAAUCAAAGUUCUUUGGUUCUGGGGGGAGUAUGGUCGCAAGGCUGAAACUUAAAGAAAUUGACGCAAGGGCACCACCAGGCGUUAACUGCAGUUCACUCUGCGCCUCAAAGCAGCCUUCACCGGUGUGGUGGUGCGCCCUUAAAUGCUAGUCUCUGUUCAGAGGCGACACCUUCAAAUUGCGGGGACACCCUGCCAACACCUCCGACUACCAAGCGCCGCCUGCGAAGGGGGCGUGGCCCGGCCGUAAUGGGCCGGGGUAUGGUGACAACGUCGGAGGUUGGGGCGAUCCGCAGCCAAGCCGCUCACGGAGCGGAAGGUCCAGAGACUAGACGGAGGUGGGUGGGACUCGACGCCAGAGUCCCGCCUAAGAUAUAGUCCAUGCGGCGGCGAAAGCCGACCGCGUUCGAUGGGAGCCUGCGGCUUAAUUUGACUCAACACGGGGAAACUCACCAGGUCCAGACACAAUAAGGAUUGACAGAUUGAGAGCUCUUUCUUGAUUUUGUGGGUGGUGGUGCAUGGCCGUUCUUAGUUGGUGGAGUGAUUUGUCUGCUUAAUUGCGAUAACGAACGAGACCUUAACCUGCUAAAUAGCCCGGCCCGCUUUGGCGGGUCGCCGGCUUCUUAGAGGGACUAUCGGCUCAAGCCGAUGGAAGUUUGAGGCAAUAACAGGUCUGUGAUGCCCUUAGAUGUUCUGGGCCGCACGCGCGCUACACUGACAGGGCCAACGAGUUAAUGUCCUUGGCCGGAAGGUCUGGGUAAUCUUGUUAAACCCUGUCGUGCUGGGGAUAGAACAUUGCAAUUAUUGCUCUUCAACGAGGAAUGCCUAGUAAGCGCGUGUCAUCAGCACGCGUUGAUUACGUCCCUGCCCUUUGUACACACCGCCCGUCGCUACUACCGAUUGAAUGGCUUAGUGAGGCGUUCGGACUGGCUCAGGGAGGUCGGCAACGACCACCCAGAGCCGGAAAGUU
rnacentral:rRNA from 1 species